GGACCUGUAGCUCAGUUGGUCAGAGCAAUCGGCUCAUAACCGAUUGGCCGGAGGUUCAAAUCCUCCCAGGUCCA
rnacentral:tRNA from 1 species